AGGGUGUGCUCAGGGCAGGGGCCUGAAGGAACGGCGCCUCGGUUCACAGCGCCAGACAGGAGCUCGGGGUUGCUGUGUGCAGGGGCACAGCACUCGUGCCCUUCCUGUGAGCACACACCCAUCAUGU